UACGAAGGGGGCUAGCGUUGCUCGGAAUCACUGGGCGUAAAGCGCACGUAGGCGGUCUCUUAAGUCGGUGGUGAAAUCCUGGAGCUCAAGUCCAGAACUGCCUUCGAUACUGGGAGUCUCGAGUCCGGGAGAGGUGAGUGGAACUGCGAGUGUAGAGGUGAAAUUCGUAGAUAUUCGCAAGAACACCAGUGGCGAAGGCGGCUCACUGGCCCGGUACUGACGCUGAGGUGCGAAAGCGUGGGGAGCAAACAGG
rnacentral:rRNA from 1 species